UUUAACGUCAAAUGGCGAAUUUUUUUUAUAACAUUUAUCAUUAAAAUAUUUUACAUAUUAAUAUUUACAUAUAUAUUUUUCUAGAAAAUUGUAAAAUAAAGAACAAUAUUGGCAAUAUUCUCAACUUAAUUAGCAAGAUUCUAUAUUAGUAGUAGCAAAUAUUUUUCUGAACCUUAAAGGCAAAGAUAUAUUUUUCUAGAAAUUGUAAAAUAAAGAACAAUAUUAGCAAUAUUCUCAACUUAGUAUUAGCAAGUUUCUAUAUUAAUAUUAGCAAAUAUUUUUCUGAACCUUAAAGGCAAAGUACAAUAUUAGCAAUAUUUUCAGGUUAGUAUUAGCAAGAUUCUAUAUUAGUAUUAGCAAAUAUUUUUCUGAACCUCAAAGGCAAAGAUAUUUGACUGCAAGAAGAGGAAGUAUUUUACAAAACAACAUGAAAUAUUAUCUUUUAAAUUUUAUUAUAAAUAGUUAAUUAUGUAUUUUGAUUUGCCUGCAAGGAAUAUCAUUGGGAAAAAAUGAAGAGAUUGUCCCUUCUUUGAUAAAUCAUGUACAAGAAGAUCGAGAGGAUGAUCUCCUUGUUUUACCAUUUUUGGAUGAAAGUUAUAGAUGAAGAAGUUGUAAUCGAUAUCUCCAUUGCAGCUGAUAGCCUAACAGUCCAAUGACAUUAAUACUAUAGACUGCCGAUCGUAAUGCUAAAAUCAAAUUUGAAGUGGCAAAAAUUGAAGUGACUGGUGGCCAUUUUGUAUUUGUAUCUUUUACGAAAGAAGCAUAUGAUAAUUUCAUAAAUUUCAGAUUUCCUAUGAAAGAUAAAAUAUUAUUAUAAAAGUGGACCCAUGCUGUGAAGAGAGAGAACUUCAAUGUAACAAAAUAUAGUAAAUUAUGUUCAAAGCAUUUUACACCAGAUUCAUUUAUUCCAUCUGUUACAAAUCAUGUUCAAUUAAGAGAGGGAGCAAUACCAUCAAUUUUUAAUUUUCCAAAGCCUUCUAAAAGUAACAAAAUAAUGAAUAAUAAAUUAUAACAUACAGGUUUCCUAGAAGCCAGAUUAAUUCAAAAAUACAUGAAUAUUUUAUUUUAUAGAAAUCAAUUCUAGAUUUCUUUUGUAUUUUUAUAAUUUAUGUCUUAUGUCUUUUAUGUUUUAUUUUUGCUUAUAAUUAUGUUAUACGUUAAUAAAUAUAAACUAUCCAUUUCUAAAUAUAUUUCUUUAUUUAAAUUUAAUUCACUAAAGUAUAAAAAUCAAUAAUGUAAAUAUAUAUCAUGAAAAAUACAAAUAAUAUAUAUUAUGUUAUAUUUACAUCAAAUAAAAUAUUUGUAUUAUUAUAAUUAAUAUGUAUCGCGAAAAGAAAAUAUUAAUUCUUAUAAAUCAAUAAUAAAUACAAAUAAUAUAUAUAUGUUAUAUUUAUGUCUAAUAAAAUUAAUUUAUUAUAACCAAUAAAGUCAUUAGAAAUUUUCAGAUAAU